rnacentral:rRNA from 1 species
UGGCUGUCGUCAGCUCGUGUCGUGAGAUGUUGGGUUAAGUCCCGUAACGAGCGCAACCCUUGUCCUUAGUUACCAGCACGUUAUGGUGGGCACUCUAAGGAGACUGCCGGUGACAAACCGGAGGAAGGUGGGGAUGACGUCAAGUCAUCAUGGCCCUUACGGCCUGGGCUACACACGUGCUACAAUGGUCGGUACAAAGGGUUGCCAAGCCGCGAGGUGGAGCUAAUCCCAUAAAACCGAUCGUAGUCCGGAUCGCAGUCUGCAACUCGACUGCGUGAAGUCGGAAUCGCUAGUAAUCGUGAAUCAGAAUGUCACGGUGAAUACGUUCCCGGGCCUU